GACUGUAGGCUGCAACUCGCCUACACGAAGUCGGAAUCGCUAGUAAUCGCGGAUCAGCAUGCCGCGGUGAAUACGUUCCCGGGCCUUGUACGCACCGCCCGUCACACCACGGGAGUUUGUAACGCCCAAAGUCGGUGGCCUAACCUUUAUGGAGGGAGCCGCCUAAGGCGGGACAGAUGACUGGGGUGAAGUCGUAACAAGGUACC
rnacentral:rRNA from 1 species